UUCGCCCUUACACUUUGAGCCUGGCUCAGAGCGAACGCUGGCGGCAGGCUUAACACAUGCAAGUCGAGCGGGCGUAGCAAUACGUCAGCGGCAGACGGGUGAGUAACGCGUGGGAACGUACCUUUUGGUUCGGAACAACACAGGGAAACUUGUGCUAAUACCGGAUAAGCCCUUACGGGGAAAGAUUUAUCGCCGAAAGAUCGGCCCGCGUCUGAUUAGCUAGUUGGUGAGGUAACGGCUCACCAAGGCGACGAUCAGUAGCUGGUCUGAGAGGAUGAUCAGCCACAUUGGGACUGAGACACGGCCCAAACUCCUACGGGAGGCAGCAGUGGGGAAUAUUGGACAAUGGGGGCAACCCUGAUCCAGCCAUGCCGCGUGAGUGAUGAAGGCCCUAGGGUUGUAAAGCUCUUUUGUGCGGGAAGAUAAUGACGGUACCGCAAGAAUAAGCCCCGGCUAACUUCGUGCCAGCAGCCGCGGUAAUACGAAGGGGGCUAGCGUUGCUCGGAAUCACUGGGCGUAAAGGGUGCGUAGGCGGAUCUUUAAGUCAGAGGUGAAAGCCUGGAGCUCAACUCCAGAACUGCCUUUGAUACUGGGGAUCUUGAGUUCGGGAGAGGUGAGUGGAACUGCGAGUGUAGAGGUGAAAUUCGUAGAUAUUCGCAAGAACACCAGUGGCGAAGGCGGCUCACUGGCCCGAUACUGACGCUGAGGCACGAAAGCGUGGGGAGCAAACAGGAUUAGACACCCUGGUAGUCCACGCCGUAAA
rnacentral:rRNA from 1 species